CAGAGACUCUCCAACAUGUGCCUUCUGACCAUACAAAUGAAACUUCCAACAGUACUGUGAAACCACCAACUUCAGUUGCCUCAGACUCCAGUAAUACAACGGUCACCACCAUGAAACCUACAGCGGCAUCUAAUACAACAACACCAGGGAUGGUCUCAACAAAUAUGACUUCUACCACCUUAAAGUCUACACCCAAAACAACAAGUGUUUCACAGAACACAUCUCAGAUAUCAACAUCCACAAUGACCGUAACCCACAAUAGUUCAGUGACAUCUGCUGCUUCAUCAGUAACAAUCACAACAACUAUGCAUUCUGAAGCAAAGAAAGGAUCAAAAUUUGAUACUGGGAGCUUUGUUGGUGGUAUUGUAUUAACGCUGGGAGUUUUAUCUAUUCUUUACAUUGGAUGCAAAAUGUAUUACUCAAGAAGAGGCAUUCGGUAUCGAACCAUAGAUGAACAUGAUGCCAUCAUUUAAGGAAAUCCAUGGACCAAGGAUGGAAUACAGAUUGAUGCUGCCCUAUCAAUUAAUUUUGGUUUAUUAAUAGUUUAAAACAAUAUUCUCUUUUUGAAAAUAGUAUAAACAGGCCAUGCAUAUAAUGUACAGUGUAUUACGUAAAUAUGUAAAGAUUCUUCAAGGUAACAAGGGUUUGGGUUUUGAAAUAAACAUCUGGAUCCUUAUAGACCGUUCAUACAAUGGUUUUAGCAAGUUCAUAGUAAGACAAACAAGUCCUAUCUUUUUUUUUUUGGCUGGGGUGGGGGCAUUGGUCACAUAUGACCAGUAAUUGAAAGACGUCAUCACUGAAAGACAGAAUGCCAUCUGGGCAUACAAAUAAGAAGUUUGUCACAGCACUCAGGAUUUUGGGUAUCUUUUGUAGCUCACAUAAAGAACUUCAGUGCUUUUCAGAGCUGGAUAUAUCUUAAUUACUAAUGCCACACAGAAAUUAUACAAUCAAACUAGAUCUGAAGCAUAAUUUAAGAAAAACAUCAACAUUUUUUGUGCUUUAAACUGUAGUAGUUGGUCUAGAAACAAAAUACUCC
rnacentral:lncRNA from 1 species